rnacentral:rRNA from 1 species
ACGAACGCUGGCGGCGUGCUUAACACAUGCAAGUCGAACGGAAAGGCCCCUUUGGGGGUACUCGAGUGGCGAACGGGUGAGUAACACGUGAGUAACCUGCCCUUGACUUCGGGAUAACUUCAGGAAACUGGGGCUAAUACCGGAUAGGAAUCCUUGCUGCAUGGUGGGGGUUGGAAAGCUUCGGCGGUUUUGGAUGGACUCGCGGCUUAUCAGCUUGUCGGUGGGGUAGUGGCUUACCAAGGCUUUGACGGGUAGCCGGCCUGAGAGGGCGACCGGCCACAUUGGGACUGAGAUACGGCCCAGACUCCUACGGGAGGCAGCGGUGGGGAAUAUUGCACAAUGGGCGGAAGCCUGAUGCAGCAACGCCGCGUGCGGGAUGACGGCCUUCGGGUUGUAAACCGCUUUCAGCAGGGGCGAAGCUUGUGGUGACGGUACCUGCAGAAGAAGCACCGGCUAACUACGUG